rnacentral:rRNA from 1 species
GAUGAACGCUGGCGGCGUGCCUAAUACAUGCAAGUCGAGCGAACAGACGAGGAGCUUGCUCCUCUGACGUUAGCGGCGGACGGGUGAGUAACACGUGGAUAACCUACCUAUAAGACUGGGAUAACUUCGGGAAACCGGAGCUAAUACCGGAUAAUAUAUUGAACCGCAUGGUUCAAUAGUGAAAGACGGUUUUGCUGUCACUUAUAGAUGGAUCCGCGCCGCAUUAGCUAGUUGGUAAGGUAACGGCUUACCAAGGCAACGAUGCGUAGCCGACCUGAGAGGGUGAUCGGCCACACUGGAACUGAGACACGGUCCAGACUCCUACGGGAGGCAGCAGUAGGGAAUCUUCCGCAAUGGGCGAAAGCCGGACGGAGCAACGCCGCGGGAGUGAUGAAGGUCUUCGGAUCGUAAAACUCUGUUAUUAGGGAAGAACAAAUGUGUAAGUAACUAUGCACGUCUUGACGGUACCUAAACAGAAAGCCACGGCUAACUACGUG